rnacentral:rRNA from 1 species
GAUGAACGCUGGCGGCGUGCCUAAUACAUGCAAGUCGAGCGAACGGACGAGAAGCUUGCUUCUCUGAUGUUAGCGGCGGACGGGUGAGUAACACGUGGAUAACCUACCUAUAAGACUGGGAUAACUUCGGGAAACCGGAGCUAAUACCGGAUAAUAUUUUGAACCGCAUGGUUCAAAAGUGAAAGACGGUCUUGCUGUCACUUAUAGAUGGAUCCGCGCUGCAUUAGCUAGUUGGUAAGGUAACGGCUUACCAAGGCAACGAUGCAUAGCCGACCUGAGAGGGCGAUCGGCCACACUGGAACUGAGACACGGUCCAGACUCCUACGGGAGGCAGCAGUAGGGAAUCUUCCGCAAUGGGCGAAAGCCUGACGGAGCGACGCCGCGUGAGUGAUGAAGGUCUUCGGAUCGUAAAACUCUGUUAUUAGGGAAGAACAUAUGUGUAAGUAACUGUGCACAUCUUGACGGUACCUAAUCAGAAAGCCACGGCUAACUACGUG